GAUUGUUUGGCUUCUCUUGAUGAUGUAUCUCUCCAAGCAAAACUAGAGAAUUCCAAGAGGAAGUUCAUUGAAAGACAACAAGAACAAGAAAAGAAGAGGAGAAAAAUACAGUUGAUUAAACCACAAGCUCUUUCGAAACAAGAACAACAACAAAUUAGAAAACAGAGUUUAUUUAAACCAAAGAGAAGACUUGGAGUGAUGAUCAAAUUCUAGUGAAUGUGCUUUUGAGGGCCUAGCAUUGUUUGGGAGUCUCUUAGUCUAGAAAAAUGACAUUUGUCGAUUUUAAUUUCUUUCUUGAGUCUAUCAUUGGUUUUACUUUAUUUUUUGGUUCCUUCACACAUUUUUAGAGCGUCCAGUCUUUACUAUAUAGCGAUCUAGAUGCUUAGAGAAAGUUGUUGUGAAUAGAAACUUAUUUUGACCAUGUGUGUGAAAGCUAGUAUUUAAAGGGAGGAAAGAGCUACCGCCCUUAUAGUGUGAAAGCCGCUCUAAGGUAAAUGGACACUAUGCUUGAGGAAAGUGUGCUUGAUGAUUUACCUGGAGUGAGGGCUACCUCAAGGGAUGUGUGAAAGCUAUUGUUCUAAGGGCGGAAAUAGCUACCACCCUUAUUGUGUGAAAGCCACUCUUAUAAUCGGAUACUAUGCAUUACAAGUGU